AGAGUUUGAUCCUGGCUCAGGACGAACGCUGGCGGCGCGCCUCAUACAUGCAAGUCGAACGUGAAGUCCGGAGCUUGCUCCGGGUGGAAAGUGGCGAACGGGUGAGGAACACGUGAGGAACCUGCCCCGAAGACCGGGAUAACACCGGGAAACCGGUGCUAAUACCGGAUGCCCUCAUCGGAUCUCAUGUUCCGAUGAGGAAAUGGAUUCCGCUUCGGGAUGGCCUCGCGGCCUAUCAGCUUGUUGGUGGGGUAACGGCCCACCAAGGCUUCGACGGGUAGCUGGUCUGAGAGGAUGUCCAGCCACACUGGGACUGAGACACGGCCCAGACUCCUGCGGGAGGCAGCAGUAGGGAAUCUUGCGCAAUGAGCGAAAGCUUGACGCAGCGACGCCGCGUGCGGGAUGAAUGCCUUCGGGUUGUAAACCGCUUUCAGCAGGGACGAAAUUGACGGUACCUGCAGAAGAAGCCCCGGCCAACUACGUGCCAGCAGCCGCGGUAAUACGUAGGGGGCAAGCGUUGUCCGGAUUUAUUGGGCGUAAAGAGCUCGUAGGCGGUUCGAUAAGUCGGACGUGAAAUCUCCACGCUCAACGUGGAGGGGCCGUUCGGUACUGUCGUGACUCGAGUCCGGUAGGGGAGUGUGGAAUUCCCGGUGUAGCGGUGAAAUGCGCAGAGAUCGGGAGGAACACCCGUAGCGAAGGCGGCACUCUGGGCCGGUACUGACGCUGAGGAGCGAAAGCGUGGGGAGCAAACAGGAUUAGAUACCCUGGUAGUCCACGCCGUAAACGUUGGGCGCUAGGUGUGGGACUCUAUCAACGGGUUCCGUGCCGUAGCUAACGCAUUAAGUGCCCCGCCUGGGGAGUACGGCCGCAAGGCUAAAACUCAAAGGAAUUGACGG
rnacentral:rRNA from 1 species